UCCAAUCCACCACUGGUCCUCGUAACAGU
rnacentral:sRNA from 1 species